rnacentral:rRNA from 1 species
UACGUAGGGGGCAAGCGUUGUCCGGAUUUACUGGGCGUAAAGAGCGUGUAGGCGGCCACGCAGGUCCGUUGUGAAAACUGGAGGCUCAACUUCCAGCCGUCGACGGAAACCGUGUGGCUAGAGUCCGGAAGAGGAGAGUGGAAUUCCUGGUGUAGCGGUGAAAUGCGCAGAUAUCAGGAAGAACACCAAUGGCGAAGGCGGCUCUCUGGGACGUGACUGACGCUGAGACGCGAAAGCGUGGGGAGCAAACAGG